CCUACGGGUGGCAGCAGUGAGGAAUAUUGGUCAAUGGACGCAAGUCUGAACCAGCCAAGUAGCGUGAAGGAUGACGGCCCUCCGGGUUGUAAACUGCUUUUAGUUGGGAAUAAAAGGGGGCUCGUGAGCCCCGUAUCGUAUGUACUAUCAGUAAAAGGACCGGCUAAUUCGGUGCCAGCCGCCGCGGUAAUACGGAAGGUCCGAGUGUUACCCGGAUUUAUUGGGUUUAAAGGGUGCGUAGGCGUAAUUCCAAGUCAGCGGUAAAAUUGGGGGUCUCAACCCCGCUUCGCAGUUGAUACUGGCGUUCUUGAGUGGGCGAGAGGUAUGCGGAAUGCGUGGUGUAGCGGUGAAAUGCAUAGAUAUCACGCAGAACUCCGAUUGCGAAGGCAGCAUAC
rnacentral:rRNA from 1 species